AUUUACUUGAACUUUUGAAGUGCUUGUAUGCAUCAUGGGUGUUAAAAUAUAUGAAGGAGCAAAAAGUGCCUAGGUGAUGUUUUAUAUACAGAUGAAGAAGGAAUCUUAUUUAUUUGUUUACUCCUAUAUAAUUUCAUUACUAGUUAUUUUAAAGUCAUUUUGUUUGAGAUAAUAAGGUCUCCGCCAAAUGUUGGUCCCCUUAUAGUGAUCAGUCUGCCCAUCCGUCC
rnacentral:lncRNA from 1 species